rnacentral:rRNA from 1 species
UACGAAGGGGGCUAGCGUUGCUCGGAAUCACUGGGCGUAAAGCGCGCGUAGGCGGCUUGUUAAGUCAGGGGUGAAAUCCUGGAGCUCAACUCCAGAACUGCCUUUGAUACUGGCGAGCUUGAGUUCGGGAGAGGUGAGUGGAACUGCGAGUGUAGAGGUGAAAUUCGUAGAUAUUCGCAAGAACACCAGUGGCGAAGGCGGCUCACUGGCCCGAUACUGACGCUGAGGUGCGAAAGCGUGGGGAGCAAAGCAGG